rnacentral:tRNA from 2 species
GCCCGAGUGGUGAAAUCGGUAGACACACCAGACUUAAAAUCUGUUGCUUCCGCAAGGGGCGUGCCGGUUCGAUUCCGGCCUCGGGCACCA